AUGGAUCUUGACAGCUCAACAAAGAUAUAAAAUGAAAAAAGCUAAUGGGAACAAAAAUUUGUGAAUUUACAUUUUGCAACGUAUGAUAUAAGGCAAUAACACAUGAAAGAAGAUAAAAAUGAAGAGCAAAGGAAAGAUGAAGAGCAAAUAAGAGUUUAUAAAUCAUUUAUAAAAGUUUGUAAAACAAUUUGUAAAGUUUAUAAUCUUUUUAUAAAGGUUUACAAAUUAUUUGUAAGAGUCUAUAAACUAUCUAUAAAGGCUUAUAAAAUAAUUCAUAAAGUAUAUAAACUAUUUAUAAAUGUUUAUUACAAAAAUUAUAAAAUUUUAUAAAUCAUUUAUAAGGGGUAUGUAUAUAAUUUAUAAGGUUUAUAGAGGUAUAUACAGGUUUAGAAAUCAAUUGGAGAUCUUAAAUCAAUUAUAAGAGUCUAUAACCAUUUAGAAAAGCUUAUUAAACAAGUUAUAAAAGUUAAUAAAAUAAUUUUCUAGGGUUAAUAAAGUUAUGUAAAUAAUUUAUAAGAGUUUAUAAAAUAUUUAUAAAAAGAAUUUAUAUGAAUAUGUUCUAAACAACCGACUUCGUCAACUCUUUAAUGUUGUUCAAUUCAGUCUUAGAAUGUGUGUGAGUUUCUCUCUACAACAUUAAUCAUGCAGUUAUUUACUAAAAGUUAAAUUUGUUCCAAUUUUUUUAGACCUUUAUAAAAUAUAAAUCUGGAUUUUUGUAUAUUGUUAAAAGUACAACUCGACGAUUUAUAAGUCUUUACAAAAAAAAUUUUUAAAUAAGAGUUCAAGUAAUUUUAGGAUUUGCUUCCUUCUGUUAUCCAAAAAGCAAAUAAGGCUUUGUUGGACACUGCAUUUUUACAGAAUUAUAAUUCUGGAUUUAGGAUAUUGUUAAAAGUACAACUUGACGAUUUAUAAGUCUUUAUAAAGAAGUUUUUAAACAAGAGUUGAUCGCAUAUGUCUAUAAAAACAUAUAAAUGUGUGAACUUGAGAAGUCUUGUGAGGAAUACUAGGCAGAAUAAGUAUAAAGAACUUUUUUUUUGGUCAAAGUAUAAGAACUCAAAAAUGAUUUAUAAAUGUUUAUAAAUUGAUUUAUAAUGGCUUACAAGUUAAUUUUUCUAAAGUCCCUCAAAAACACAAUCAACACAAAAAGGCAUAUCUGGUGAAAGACCCACGUCCUUCAGCAAGGGAUAUACUGCCUCAACCCUCUCUGUAGACUGUACAGAGACCAUGCUUGUGAUCAGAAUCAAACAAGCUCAUUUCAUGGUUUAGUUUUAUAAAUACUACUACUUAUCUUAACUCCUGUGGAUGGAGAAGAGAAUGUGAGAAGCACCAAGAUCUCAAAUGAAGGAAGUGGAAUCAGCGGCUCGUCUUCCCUAAGAGCUCCAUCUACAAGUAUGGUCUGAGCCCUUGGACGCGACAACAUCCUAAUUAAGAGAUGUCUGAAGAAGAUGAGAGAGAAGAAUGUAUUAACAAGCCAACUCUGCAACUUUGAUAUAAGGGUAUAAAAUUUAAUAUAUUUUAUAAGGCCUUGUAAAUUUUAAUGUAUAAAGCUUAAAAUAAUAGUUUCUAAAUAAUUUGUUUACAGAUUACAUCGCCUAUAAAUAAUUAUUCGCAAGAGAUGAUUAAAACAUUUAUAUGCAUUAUCUAUGGAUUCAUAAACAAUAAUGUAUUAAAAUUUAUUAAAAAUCACUUAUAAACCUUCGUAAAAUUCAGAUAUACUAGUUUAUAAAGUAUUAUAUAAACUCAGAGAUGAAAUUUAAACACAAAAAAUGAUAUGUAAAGGCUGAUAAAUAACUUAUAACCCCUUAUAUAUCUUAUAAUAAGAUUUUAGAAAGCAUUAUGAAAAUUAAUGAUAAAAAGUUUAAAAAGUAAAAUCAGUGAUAUAAAUACAUGAAGAUGCUUGUUACUAAUUUUCUUAAAAA